rnacentral:misc_RNA from 1 species
GAUGAAGAACGUAGCGAAAUGCGAUAAGUAGUGUGAAUUGCAGAAUUCAGCGAAUCAUCGAAUCUUUGAACGCACAUUGCGCCCUUCGGUUAUUCCUUAGGGCAUGCCUGUUCGAGCGUCAUUUCAACCUUCAAGCCUGGCUUGGUGUUGGGCGCUGUCCCGCCUCCGCGCGCGGACUCGCCCCAAAUGAAUUGGCAGUCGCACCCUCCGAGCCGCGAGCGCAGCACAAGUCGCGCGGGCGGAACUCUGGGGGGACGGACGCUCCACAAGACCCUUUCUCAGUCUUGACCUCGGAUCAGGUAGUGAUACCCGCUGAACUUAAGCAUAUCAAUAAGCGGAGGA